rnacentral:rRNA from 1 species
UACAGAGGUCCCAAGCGUUGUUCGGAUUCAUUGGGCGUAAAGGGUGUGUAGGUGGCGCUGUAAGUCGGGUGUGAAAUCUCGGGGCUUAACUCCGAAACUGCAUUCGAUACUGCGGUGCUUGAGGACUGGAGAGGAGACUGGAAUUCAUGGUGUAGCAGUGAAAUGCGUAGAGAUCAUGAAGAAGACCAGUGGCGAAGGCGGGUCUCUGGACAGUUCCUGACACUGAGACACGAAGGCCAGGGGAGCAAACGGG